ensembl:snoRNA
AUCCUUUUGUAGUUCAUAAGGGUGAUGAUUGGGUGUUCAUGCAGUUUUGUGAGAUGUGCCUCCCUCAGGCAUUCUACGAUACGGGCACAUUACCGGGCUGAUG